GAUUUCUGGUUCGGCGUACUUGGCCCGCUCCGGUUUACGGGGUUGUGUGCCGGUGUGCGCCAUCCAUCCUUCGAGAAAUCACUUCUGCCCUUCACUGGGUUGGAAGUGGAAUCUCGAUCUUUUACUUUGAAAAAAUUAGAGUGUUUAAAGCAGGCUUGCGGCUAUGAAUACAUUAGCAUGGAAUAAUAAUUUAGGACUUUUGUCUUAUUUUGUUGGUUUCUAGGACUUAAGUAAUGAUUGAUAGGGACAGUUGGGGGUGCUAGUAUUCAGCGGCCAGAGGUGAAAUUCUUGGAUUCGCUGAAGACUAACUUAUGCGAAAGCAUU
rnacentral:rRNA from 1 species